CAACCUCAAUCUCAAUUCUAAAACCCAAACCAAACCUCAAUCUCAAUUCCAAAACCCAACCCCAACCUCAAUUCCAAAACUCAAUCUCAAUUAAAAAAAAACCAAACCCAACCUCAAUCUCAAUUUCAAAACCCAAACCCAACCUCAAUCUCAAUUCCAAAACCCUACCCCCAACCUUGAUCUCAAUUCUAAAACUCUACAUCAAUUCCAAAACAAAAACCUAACCUAAAUCUCAAUUCUAAAACCCAAACCUAAACCCAAGCUCAAUGUCACACAAGACCAGGGUAAGGAUCCAGAAGCAGCUUUUAUUAGCAAAAAUAACAAAGUCCAGGCAGACAAAUACAGACAGGGGAAUUCCAAAAAUUAAAGUAAAAAAAUCAUUGCUGAGAUAUAAUCACCAGAAGAGACAAGGUUCACAAAAUGCUUAAAAAUGCUAGAAUAACCAGACAAGAUGCCACAGAAUAAUGAGCAAAAUAAUGCAGUUGUACAAAUACUAAAACUGAGACAAGAGUGACCUCCUGAGGUGUGGAGGUGCAACAACUGGGCCAUUAGUAACACUCAAACACCAAAAAGCCAAUCUCAAAUUUAACACAACCUUAAACCUAAACCAAACCCAAUCUCAAUCCCAAAAUCCAAACCCAAACUCAAACUUAACACAACCUCAAACCUAAACCUUAACCCAAUCUCAAUCCAAAAAUCCAAAUUUGACACCAAACUCAAACCAAAACCCAAAUUCAACCCCAAUCUCAGUCCCAAUCUCUAAACCCAAACCAAAAACUUGAGUUUAAGUUUGGGUUUUGGAUUGUUUGGAGUUUUAGUUUGGGUUUUAGUCUGGAUUUGAGUUUGGAUUUUGGUCUGGAUUUGAGUUUGGGUUUUGGGUCUGGAUUUGAGUUUGGGAUUUGAUCUGGAUUCGAGUUUGGGAUUAAGUUUGGGUUCUGGUCUGGGUUUGAUUUAAGUUUGGGUUUUGGUUGGUUUAGAGUUUUAGUUUGGGGUUGCUCUGGAUUUCAGAUUGGGUUUGAUUUAAGGGUUUGAGGUUUAAGUUUUGGUUUUGGUCUGGGUUUGGUUUUGAUGGGUUAUACAUAUUAGUGCUGUUAGUGCUGUCAGGUGAUUAAAAACGAAUCUUAAUGAAUUAUAUGUUAUGUGACACUUUUUGCUAAGAACGAAUUUUAAAUGGUACAGUUCAAUAAAAAUUUACCAGAGGAA